GCAGCCAUGCCCGAGUGGUUAAGGCGUCUGGCUAGAAAUCAGAUGUAAUCUUCACGCGCAGGUUCGAAUCCUGCGGGCUGCG